UAAAAAAAAUAAUAUGUUGAUAAUAUAUGUGAAAGUAAAUAAGUAUUACCUAAGAUAAGUUGCUAAAAGGUCAAAGGCAGCAAAGGUAAAAGUAAGUAACAAUGGUGGCGACUAGGUUUAUGAUGGCAGCUAGGAUUUAAGAGGCGGCUAGGUAAAGUGGCGGCUAGGUUAAGUGGCGACUAGGGUUUCAUCAAAUGGAUGUAGAUGAAGUUCAGCCAUAG
rnacentral:pre_miRNA from 1 species